rnacentral:rRNA from 1 species
AACGAACGCUGGCGGCAUGCCUAACACAUGCAAGUCGAACGAAGCCUUCGGGCUUAGUGGCGCACGGGUUCGUAACGCGUGGGAAUCUGCCCUUUGGUUCGGAAUAACAGUUGGAAACGACUGCUAAUACCGGAUGAUGACGCAAGUCCAAAGAUUUAUAGCCAGAGGAUGUAGGCCGCGUAGGAUUAGCUCGUAGGUGUGGUAAAGGCGCACGAAGGCGACGAUCCUUAGCUGGUCGGAGAGGAUGAUCAGCCACACGAGGACUGAGACACGGUCCAGUCUCCGACGGGAGGAAGCAGUGGGGAAUAUUGGGCAAUGGGCGAAAGACAGAUCCAGCAAUGCCGCGUGAGGGAUGAAGGCCCUAGGGUUGUAAAGGUCUUUUACCCGGGAUGAUAAUGACAGUACCGGGAGAAUAAGCCCCGGCUAACUCCGUGCCAGCAGCCGCCGUAA